rnacentral:rRNA from 1 species
GACGAACGCUGGCGGCGUGCUUAACACAUGCAAGUCGAACGGAAAGGCCCUGCUUUUGUGGGGUGCUCGAGUGGCGAACGGGUGAGUAACACGUGAGUAACCUGUCCUUGACUUUGGGAUAACUUCAGGAAACUGGGGCUAAUACCGGAUAGGAGCUCCUGCUGCAUGGUGGGGGUUGGAAAGUUUCGGCGGUUGGGGAUGGACUCGCGGCUUAUCAGCUUGUUGGUGGGGUAGUGGCUUACCAAGGCUUUGCCGGGUAGCCGGCCUGAGAGGGUGACCGGCCACAUUGGGACUGAGAUACGGCCCAGACUCCUACGGGAGGCAGCAGUGGGGAAUAGUGCGCAAUGGGCGGAAGCCUGAUGCAGCAACGCCGCGUGCGGGAUGACGGCCUUCGGGUUGUAAACCGUUUUCGCCUGUGACGAAGCGUGAGUGACGGUAAUGGGUAAAGAAGCACCGGCUAACUACGUG